AAAAAAAUAAUAAAUGUGUUUUUCAUAACAUUGGGAACGCACCAACUAAUAUAGCAAAACACACCUACUAAUAGGCAAUCAAUGAUGGUUCACUGCGAGGCGAAAGCUAGAUUCCCUAUGAAGCUUUAAUGUUCCUCGGAUUGUCUUUGGGUUCUUCUUGCGCGACUUAGGUGGAAGGUGAAUAAGGCCCCCUUUUGGGGUCCUGAGCCAUUAGUGAGAUACCACUUUGGAAGAGCUAGAAUUCUAACCUUGUGUCAGGAUCUACGGGUCAAGGGACAAUCUCAUGUAGAUAGUUUUAAUGGGGCGUAGGCCUCCCAAAAGGUAACAGAGGUGUGUAAUGGUUUCCUCGGGCCGGAUGGAAAUCGACUCUCAAGUGCAAAGACAUAAGGGAGCUUGACUGCAAGAUCCACCAGACGAGUGGGGACAAAAGUCGACCUUAGUGAUUCGACGGUGUUAAGUGGAAGGGCUGUCGCUCAAUGGAUAAAAGUUACUCUAGGGAUAACAAAGAGUUCACAUCGACGGGAAGGUUUGUCACCUCGAUGUCGACUCUUUGCCAUCUGGGGCAGUGGUAUGUUCCAAGGGUUGCGUUGUUCGCCCAUUAAAGCGGUAUGCGAGUUGGGUUCAGAACGUCGUGAGACUGUUCGAUCCAUAUCCGGUGCGGGCGUUAGAGCAUUGAAAGGACCUUUCCCUAGUAUGAGAGGAUCAUGAAGGACACACCUUUGGUGUAUCAGUUAUCAUGCCCACGAUAGACGCUGGGUAGCCAAGUGCAAAGCGGAUAACCACUGAAGCAUAUAAGUAGGAAGCCCACCCCAAGAUGAGUGCUCUCUUAUUCUUACUCCCCCGAGAACCCUAGUCGCGAACAUGGUUGGGAGAGAAACAAGAACCACGAUUUUAUUAA
rnacentral:ncRNA from 1 species